GACGAACGCUGGCGGCGUGCUUAACACAUGCAAGUCGAACGGAAAGGCCCUGCUUUUGUGGGGUGCUCGAGUGGCGAACGGGUGAGUAACACGUGAGUAACCUGCCCUUGACUUUGGGUUACUUCAGGAAACCGGGGGCAAUAACGGAAAAGAACUCCUGCCGCCAGGGGGGGGUUGGAAAGGUUCGGCGGUUGGGGAUGGACUCGCGGCUUAUCAGCUUGUUGGUGGGGUAGUGGCUUACCAAGGCUUUGACGGGUAGCCGGCCUGAGAGGGUGACCGGCCACAUUGGGACUGAGAUACGGCCCAGACUCCUACGGGAGGCAGCAGUGGGGAAUAUUGCACAAUGGGCGGAAGCCUGAUGCAGCAACGCCGCGUGCGGGAUGACGGCCUUCGGGUUGUAAACCGCUUUCGCCUGUGACGAAGCGUGAGUGACGGUAAUGGGUAAAGAAGCACCGGCUAACUACGUG
rnacentral:rRNA from 1 species